GCGCCCUCGGGUGACGGCGGGUAGGUUAGUAACGCGUGGGAACGUGCCCUUCUCUACGGAAUAGCCUCUGGAAACGGAGAGUAAUACCGUAUACGCCCUUUGGGGGAAAGAUUUAUCGGAGAAGGAUCGGCCCGCGUUAGAUUAGGUAGUUGGUGGGGUAACGGCCUACCAAGCCUACGAUCUAUAGCUGGUUUUAGAGGAUGAUCAGCAACACUGGGACUGAGACACGGCCCAGACUCCUACGGGAGGCAGCAGUGGGGAAUCUUAGACAAUGGGGGCAACCCUGAUCUAGCCAUGCCGCGUGAGUGAUGAAGGCCUUAGGGUCGUAAAGCUCUUUCGGCUGUGAUGAUAAUGACAGUAGCAGGUAAAGAAACCCCGGCUAACUCCGUGCCAGCAGCCGCGGUAAUACGGAGGGGGUUAGCCGUUGUUCGGAACUUACUGGGCGUAAAGCGCGCGUAGGCGGAUUAGAAAGUCGGGGGUGAAAUCCCCGUGGCUCAACCCCGGAACUGCCUCCAAAACUGCUAGUCUAGAGUACGAGAGAGGUGAGUGGAAUACCGAGUGUACAGGUUAAAUUCGUAGAUAUUCGGAGGAACACC
rnacentral:rRNA from 1 species